CCGGCGCACGGGUGAGUAACGCGUGGGAACGUACCCUUCGGCGGGGGACAACAGUUGGAAACGACUGCUAAUACCGCAUACGCUCUAAGGAGGAAAGGCUUCGGCCACCGAGGGAUCGGCCCGCGUUAGAUUAGGUAGUUGGUGGGGUAAUGGCCUACCAAGCCGACGAUCCGUAGCUGGUCUGAGAGGAUGAUCAGCCACACUGGGACUGAGACACGGCCCAGACUCC
rnacentral:rRNA from 1 species